rnacentral:tRNA from 1 species
GCGCUGGUAGUAUAGUGGUUAGUAUUUAGCCUUGCCAAGGCUGAGACCCGGGUUCGAGCCCCGGCCGGCGCA